UGCGUGUGUGUGUGUGUUCCUUAGGACUAGAUCGAUAACGGGCUUCCUGUCUUCUGGGUUUCCGGUUUCUACUUUGAUCUGAGUGACCAAAAUGAAAGCCAGGUGGAUCAGAAGCCAGACGACGGUGCGUAUGUUCGCGGCCUCUUCCUGGAAGGCGCCCGGUGGGACCGCGACGGCAUGGUGUUGGGCGAGUAGCUCCCCAAAAUCCUCUUAAACACGCUGCAUCACCUGGCUCAAGCCGGGCGAGAGCUCUAAGUUCGCGUAUGAGAACGUGUACGUGUGCCCGGUGUACAAGACCAACGUGCGGUGCGGCACUCUCUCCACCACGGGUCAUUCAAUCAACUACAUGCUGCCCAUCGAGCUGCCCUCGGACAAGCCCCAGCAACACUGGAUCAACAGGGGAGUGGCCUGCCUGUGCCAGCUGGAUGACUGAGGACGACUGGACUGGACUGGACUGGACGAGAGUUGUCUAAUCAAAAUCCAGCCAUGAAAUUCAAAGGAUUUCAAGUGUGCGUACUCCUCACUCUUAAAAUGUCAGUUAGCCUUUAUCCUGCAGCUUUUCCGAUCCAGCUGUAUGACUGAGGAGCUCAUGCUUAUGGCUAGACUACUCAAACAUGCCAUGGCAUGGGGCCUCAUGUACGAAGCUCACUUACGGACAAAAAAGCUACUGAAGUUGUUUCCCACGGUCACGGUCAGAUGUACUAAAACAGACUAGGCGUGGAAAACUGCAGAUAUCCACGCGAAUUUCAGGGCUGCUGUGGAAGUUUCCAUAAGCAUGGAAGUUGCCUUAAGUAGUGCAUUGCGUCUUUUUGGCGGCACACAGAGGCAUGCAGCGCAAGUACUGUACGUGUGUUGUACGCGGUCGGAAAUAUUGCAGAGAUGCAGCCAGUUAAACAUGGAUUUUAAUUUUGAGGCGUGAACCUAUUGUUGAGGCAGCUGGUUAAAAUGAAGUGGACUCAUGAAACUAUCCUGGAAUUAGGCUACAACGAAAUUGGAUGCCCAUCAGCAGUAUUAUUUCAAGUAGGCUAUUUGGCAGCUAUUAAACAUUGAAUAUUUUCUGGA